rnacentral:rRNA from 1 species
GAGUGAAUUAGCACUUAAAUUUUAAUUUUUAAUAAAAAUAAUUUUAUUAUAUUUAUUUAGUAUUUUGUAAGGAAAUAUAGUGAUUGUUUAUAGUAAAUUAGUACUGUGGAGGAAAUAUGAAAUAAUAUUGAGAUAUUUAUUUUAUUAAAAGUAGAAUUUGAUUUUGUACCUUGUGUCUCAGGGUUUAUUUACAAUAAUUUAAUGACUUUAAUUUUCCCGAAUUAGGAAGAUUGAUACUUAUAUGUUAGUUAAUGUGGCAUAAUUAUUAAUAAUAUAAGUUUUGUAAUGAAAUGUUAGUCGUUUUCUAUGAUAUCUGGUUUCCUAAGAAACAAAUUGAAUUUGAUUAUUAUUGUGUAUUUUUUAAUGAUUUAAUUAAUUAUAUAAUAUUGGAUAAAUUUUUUGGGAUAAGCUGAUGAAUUGAUUAAUUAUAAUUGAUUAUUUACUUAAUUUUUAAUAGGCUUUAAAUUAGCUUUUUAUAUAAUAUUGUUAUAAAUUAAUUUUUUGAGAAUGUAAUUUUAAUUUGAUUUAAUUAUUAUAUUAGGAUUAAGAUUAUAAUGAUUUAAAUGUUGAAAUUAUGGUGAAAUGAGUAUAUUUUUUUGUAUAUAAUUGAUUUAAUUGUUAAUUUAGUUUAAGGAACUAGGCAAAUAUUUUUGUUCGUAUGUUUAUCAAAAACAUUUCUUUUUGUAAUUAUAAAAAGUAGGGCCUGCCCACUGAAUUUUAAAGGGCCGCGGUAUUUUGACCGUGCAAAGGUAGCAAAAUCAUUAGUCUCUUAAUUGGAGGCUGGAAUGAAUGGUUUGACGAGAUAAAUACUGUCUCUAAUUGAAUUAUUUGAAAUUAACGUUUUAGUAAGAAGGCUGGAAUUCUUGUAUAGGACGAGAAGACCCUAUAGAGUUUUAUUUAAAUAUAUACUUAUUUUUAAUUGGUAGUAAUGAUAUAUUAGUUAUAUUUUAAAUUUUGUUGGGGUGACAUGAAGAAUUGAUAAACUCUUCAUAAUUAAGUACAUUGAUUGAUGAUUAAUUGAUCCUUUAUUAUUGAUUAAAAGAUUAAAUUACCUUAGGGAUAACAGCGUAAUUUUUUUUGAGAGGCCUUAUCGACAAGAAAGAUUGCGACCUCGAUGUUGGAUUAAGAGUAUUUUUAGGUGUAGCAGCUUAGAAAAUAAGUCUGUUCGACUUUUAAAUUCUUACAUGAUCUGAGUUCAGACCGGCGUGAGCCAGGUCGGUUUCUAUCCUUAUUUUAAUGUAAAAUCUUAGUACGAGAGGACCAGAUUUUAAAAAUAAUUUUUAAUAAGUUGAUUAUCAUUACUAAUUUGGCAGAU